rnacentral:lncRNA from 1 species
GUCAGUUGGAUGAAGACAGAGCUGAGUGUGCGGAACGUGUACUUCGUAGCCGUAGGUGCUGUUUCCGCUCCUGCAGCCAGUCCCUCUAUUGAUCAAGGGCCUGUCGUACAGCAGAAUAGUGGGGUCAGAUCCCGAAAUCCUCCCAGAGAAGUUGGUGGUGAUGUUGAACAUCCCCUCUCCGGGAUUGAUGGCUGGCUGCCUCAGCACUGUGCUGAAGUCUACAUUACGUCCACUUAUGUGACCACCAAGGCCUUUAGGGUCUUGGGAACCCAUCCCUGUCAAGUAUGGGGGACGUGGGUCACUAUGCGCAUAGUCAGUUCCGUAGUCUCCCAGAUGUGUCAGGACAGACUGUGCGCCAAGUCUUUGAACCUCCACAUUAUCCCAGUUGCCACAUUUCUGUCACUAUCUAUAGGUUUGCAGUGCCCACUACACUGUCUCCAGUAGAGACACUGCUCCAGGCAAUAUAACAUCCUUCUCCAGAUGGCCUAGCACAGCGAACAUUCUAUCUGCCUAAAUCCCAGAGCUGUCUUGGUCCUCGUUUUUGGUCUUGCAAAUUGUAGGAGCUAGAACCCACAGAGGCAGACACCACGCUCCCCACCCCCAU